rnacentral:rRNA from 1 species
AUUAGAUACCCGUGUAGUCCCAGCCGUAAACGAUGCUCGCUAGGUGUCAGGCAUGGCGCGACCGUGUCUGGUGCCGCAGGGAAGCCGUGAAGCGAGCCACCUGGGAAGUACGGCCGCAAGGCUGAAACUUAAAGGAAUUGGCGGGGGAGCACAACAACGGGUGGAGCCUGCGGUUUAAUUGGACUCAACGCCGGACAACUCACCGGGGGCGACAGCAAUAUGUAGGCCAGGCUGAAGACCUUGCCUGAAUCGCUGAGAGGAGGUGCAUGGC